rnacentral:rRNA from 1 species
GACGAACGCUGGCGGCGUGCUUAACACAUGCAAGUCGAACGGAAAGGCCCUGCUUUUGUGGGGUGCUCGAGUGGCGAACGGGUGAGUAACACGUGAGUAACCUGCCCUUGACUUUGGGAUAACUUCAGGAAACUGGGGCUAAUACCGGAUAGGAGCUCCUGAUGCACGGUGGGGGUUGGAAAGUUUCGGCGGUUGGGGAUGGACUAGCGGCUUAUCAGCUUGUUGGUGGGGUAGUGGCUUACCAAGGCUUUGACGGGUAGCCGGCCUGAGAGGGUGACCGGCCACAUUGGGACUGAGGUACGGCCCAGACUCCUACGGGAGGCAGCAGUGGGGAAUAUGGCGCAAUGGGCGGAAGCCUGAUGCAGCAACGCCGCGUGCGGGAUAACGGCCUUCGGGUUGUAAACCUCUUUCGCCUGUGACGAAGCGUGAGUGACGGUAAUGGGUAAAGAAGCACCGGCUAACUACGUG